AAGCAACACACCUGUCCCCAGGAGAGAAGCAAGUGAGGUGGUGGUGCCCUGUGUCUGUACCAAGGAGCUGGUCCUCCUUGGCUGGAAGGAUGGCUGGUACUGGCCCUUAAGAGGACAAGAAGAACAGGACUGAGCCAGACAGACCAGAGACAAGGAACCUGCAAGACCUCCAGGUCCUACCAUGCCAGCUCACAGAGAACUUGCUGAGCCCUAUACCCCUGCAACGACACAAAGCCACCUGCAAUUUGCAACGUUUCUUGCCAACUUUCUGCUUGGCGUGAAUUUCUACAACGGAGCAAUAUAACUUCUGAAAAUAGAUACACUGGAAAGCCUGACACACCCUAUAUGGAGCCUACAAGUGGCAGAACCAUAAUCAAAAGCCAGUCAAGACGGUAGGACAUGCUAGCAGCAUUCAAUUAAGGCUCUGAGUAAAGCAGCCCUAAGAGAAUAAAGUAAAUGGGAACUCUAUGAACCUUGUUGCACGGAACCCCCAGGCGCUUUGCAUCGCUGAGAGGCAUUUGAGUUUGUGCUCUUUAUGGUAACCCUAGGGCGGGCGACUUAUGCCAAUAGAGCUGGCACGUUCAGGACCCCUUUGAAAAAUAAAAAUUCAUGGAAGUGGCCAACCUGCUGUGAUUUCCUGAUACAAAACUAUGUGCAAACCUAUGGGGAAAACAAAACAAAACAAAACAAAAAGCAAACAGUAGUUGUAUGAUACAAGUCUGAGCUCUGCCUGUCAUUAACAGGGGUGGGUUUUCCAGGGUAAAUUCUCCUGGGCCAAAUAACAGGAGACUGAUAAAUAA